rnacentral:rRNA from 1 species
GAUGAACGCUGGCGGCGUGCCUAAUACAUGCAAGUCGAGCGAACAGACGAGGAGCUUGCUCCUCUGACGUUAGCGGCGGACGGGUGAGUAACACGUGGAUAACCUACCUAUAAGACUGGGAUAACUUCGGGAAACCGGAGCUAAUACCGGACAAUAUAUUGAACCGCAUGGUUCAAUAGUGAAAGACGGUUUUGCUGUCACUUAUAGAUGGAUCCGCGCCGCAUUAGCUAGUUGGUAAGGUAACGGCUUACCAAGGCGACGAUGCGUAGCCGACCUGAGAGGGUGAUCGGCCACACUGGAACUGAGACACGGUCCAGACUCCUACGGGAGGCAGCAGUAGGGAAUCUUCCGCAAUGGGCGAAAGCCUGACGGAGCAACGCCGCGUGAGUGAUGAAGGUCUUCGGAUCGUAAAACUCUGUUAUUAGGGAAGAACAAAUGUGUAAGUAACUAUGCACGUCUUGACGGUACCUAAUCAGAAAGCCACGGCUAACUACGUG